rnacentral:rRNA from 1 species
AAAGAGGAAAUUCAUUCGCGUUUCGGCUGUCGGAGAUGAGCGUUUGUAUGACGGAUUGCGUUUCGGCGUCGUCUGCGUCUUACGUUCUUCGAAUCGAUGUCGAACGCGUGCACUUUUCCUCUAGUAGGACGUCGCGAUCCGUUGGGUGUCUGUCUAAGGCUCGAGGUGGAGCCCACGYGAUUUUUUGAUUGUGUGGACCCUUGAUGUCCCGACAGACUCGCUCGACGGUAUACAAAUGGCGCGGGGCCGCUACUUUAGUUAGCGUUCGGCCCGUAGCAAGCACGUUCUGUGUUUGACGGUCAUCGGACCUGGUGCCGAUUCUGUCCCAGAACGACUGUUGGUUACGGUGUUCUCGAACAGACCUCGUUUAUGAAACGCCGAUCAGCGACGCUAUAGAUUUGGGUACUUUCAGGACCCGUCUUGAAACACGGACCAAGGAGUCUAGCAUGUGCGCGAGUCAUUGGGACAUUACUAAACCUAAAGGCGUAAUGAAAGUAAAGGUUUACCUUGCGUAGACCGAGGGAGGAUGAGCGGUUUGCCCUUAAAAGUAACCGCUUCGCACUCCCGGGGCGUCUCGUUCUCAUUGCGAGAAGAGGCGCACCAAGAGCG